rnacentral:rRNA from 1 species
AUACGUAGGUGGCAAGCGUUAUCCGGAAUUAUUGGGCGUAAAGAGUGAGCAGGCGGUUAAUUAAGUCUGAGGUUAAAGCGUGGGGCUCAACCCCAUAAAGCCUUUGAAACUGAUUGACUAGAGUACGGGAGAAGUGAAGGGAACUCCAUGUGUAGCGGUGAAAUGCGUAGAUAUAUGGAAGAACACCAGUGGCGAAGGCGCUACACUAGCCCGAAACUGACGCUCAGUCACGAAAGCGUAGGUAGCAAAUAGGAUUAGAUACCCUAGUAGUCCACGCUGUAAACGAUGACAACUAAAUAUUGCCGCGAGGCAGUGUUGAAGCUAACGCAUUAAGUUGUCCGCCUGGGGAGUACGGUCGCAAGACUGAAACUUAAAGGAAUUGACGGGG